AUUGAACGCUGGCGGCAUGCCUUACACAUGCAAGUCGAACGGCAGCAUGAUCUAGCUUGCUAGAUUGAUGGCGAGUGGCGAACGGGUGAGUAAUACAUCGGAACGUGCCCUGUAGUGGGGGAUGACUAGUCGAAAGAUUAGCUAAUACCGCAUACGACCUGAGGGUGAAAGUGGGGGACCGCAAGGCCUCAUGCUAUAGGAGCGGCCGAUGUCUGAUUAGCUAGUUGGUGAGGUAAAGGCUCACCAAGGCGACGAUCAGUAGCUGGUCUGAGAGGACGAUCAGCCACACUGGGACUGAGACACGGCCCAGACUCCUACGGGAGGCAGCAGUGGGGAAUUUUGGACAAUGGGCGAAAGCCUGAUCCAGCAAUGCCGCGUGUGUGAAGAAGGCCUUCGGGUUGUAAAGCACUUUUGUCCGGAAAGAAAUGGCUCUGGUUAAUACCUGGGGUCGAUGACGGUACCGGAAGAAUAAGGACCGGCUAACUACGUG
rnacentral:rRNA from 1 species